UCUCCUUCCUUCCCUCCCUUUUCUCUCCGCUCUCUCACUCUCUUCUUGUUUCAAGAUUUUUGCUAUUUGCCAGGUUUCAUACCGGAACAAGUACAGUUGGAGAACAAAAGUUGCAGAGGGCGUGGGGACAGAGCAAAAGAAUUAAAAGUACAUUUGAGGCCAGUUCCGGUUUUCGGGGCGCUGCUGGUGGUGGUGGUAGCUCGUGGUUGUCCGUUCAGAAACAACUCUUGUCAUAAAACAAAAAUAACCAGCAGUAUUUGUAGAUUGCUUGAGCUGAUGGCAUCUAUGUCUUCCUCCUCCUGCUUUCUGUAGCUCAGUUAGCAACCUCAUUAUGAAACAUAUUACAAGUAGACUGUCAGACCGCACCCUGCCCCAGCGCCCCGUUUUUGGCAAGUUCUGUGUUCUAGGCAUAUCCACCAAUCUAUAGUUAUACCCCCCUAUCUUUUUAACUUUUUUAGUUUUAGUCUAUAGAGUUGAACCUCUUUAUACUGAAAAACAACACUUCCUUCCCACUUUUGUUUUGGAAAAACUAAAGUCCGUAGGAAUUCGGAAUUCAAAGGCUUCAGAAAUAUUAGCUGAUUCAGCAGAAAACGGGCUAUUCAAAAAUACAGACUAGACCUUUACUUGAUUAAAAAAUUUUUUUUCUUUUCUCACCUCCUGCAAAUCGGAAUUCCCACUUGUAUGUUGAAUGUAGAAAUUCACUAUCUCUGCGGUUGGCACCUUGUUUCCAGAGGGCGAGUCUCCAGAACGCAUCAGCUGCAGAUGAAAAGUUUGAUGAUGUGGAAUGUGGAAAUUUUGGGAAAGAGAUCCUGUUGGAAGGAAGUACUCUUUGCUGUGUCUGCUGUCACCAGGCCAAGGUGCACAUGGAUGGAGAUAACAGGCCCACCUGUGCCACUGGCUGGCAGGCCCAUGCUCACUUUACAUGCAGCUGCUGCUUUGGAAUACGGCGACCGCACUGCCAUUAUUUAAGUUGAUAAUUAUUCUAAAAUUUGUUUUAAAAAUCAAUAAUUGAUUUUUUUUCUCAUCCACAUGGGAAUAUUUGCCAGAUAUUGAAGCUCUUAUUAUGGCAUGCAUUGUGCAUUAGUUUGGUAGAUUUCAGGUCCAGUAAAGACCUCCCGGGUAAAAGUGGCUUAGCCAAGAAGGACAUCUCAACAUAUCAAUAAGUCUAGAAGCAGACAUUUCACCGUCAGUUCUUUCUGCAGCUCCAGGAGGUUAGGGCUGCAGGUUGGCUUCUAGACUGUUGGUUUCCCCUUUGGUUACAGGGGGCCUCCCACCACUGAAUUGUCACAUUGGACUGUGGCCAGGGCUGGAGGACUGCUAUGAUAUUUUUCUUCCCUUAGGAAUGACAGCCUUUCCCUGAAGGCCCUUGGCUAACUUCCCCUUUGGGCAACCUGGUCUGAAUCUGUCACUUGGCCACUCUUAGCUGCAAGAGAGGCUGUGAAAGUGAGGAUCUGGAGAGUGGCUGUUGAUGGGGACACUGGUAGCCAGGAAGGGGAGGAGGGACAACCCACAGUGUCAGAUGCACAUUACUGUGUGAAAGCAGUGAACUUCCAAGCAAUACCAUUGAGUCAACUUCCCUGGUCUUACAGCGGAAUUUAUGCAGGGUUAUAAAUUAAGCAUGAUCUAGAUCCAAGAAAACCUUGAGAUCUACAUUUUUUUUUUGAAGUUCACACAAUACAGUUCUUUGUACAUUUAGUAUGAAAUAAACGUCAAGCAGUUUACAG
rnacentral:lncRNA from 1 species